rnacentral:rRNA from 1 species
GACGUACGCUGGCGGCGCGCCUAACACAUGCAAGUCGAACGGAGCUUAGAGAGCUUGCUUUUUAAGCUUAGUGGCGAACGGGUGAGUAACGCGUGAGUAACCUGCCCUAGAGUGGGGGACAACAGUUGGAAACGACUGCUAAUACCGCAUAAGCCCACGGUACCGCAUGGCACUGAGGGAAAAGGAUUUAUUCGCUUUAGGAUGGACUCGCGUCCAAUUAGCUAGUUGGUGAGGUAACGGCCCACCAAGGCGACGAUUGGUAGCCGGACUGAGAGGUUGAACGGCCACAUUGGGACUGAGACACGGCCCAGACUCCUACGGGAGGCAGCAGUGGGGGAUAUUGCACAAUGGGGGAAACCCUGAUGCAGCGACGCCGCGUGGAGGAAGAAGGUUUUCGGAUUGUAAACUCCUGUCGUUAGGGACGAUAAUGACGGUACCUAACAAGAAAGCACCGGCUAACUACGUGCCAGCAGCCGCGGUAAAACGUAGGGUGCAAGCGUUGUCCGGAAUUACUGGGUGUAAAGGGAGCGCAGGCGGGAAGACAAGUUGGAAGUGAAAACCAUGGGCUCAACCCAUGAAUUGCUUUCAAAACUGUUUUUCUUGAGUAGUGCAGAGGUAGAUGGAAUUCCCGGUGUAGCGGUGGAAUGCGUAGAUAUCGGGAGGAACACCAGUGGCGAAGGCGGUCUACUGGGCACCAACUGACGCUGAGGCUCGAAAGCAUGGGUAGCAAACAGGAUUAGAUACCCUGGUAGUCCAUGCCGUAAACGAUGAUUACUAGGUGUUGGGGGAUUGACCCCCCUCAGUGCCGCAGUUAACACAAUAAGUAAUCCACCUGGGGAGUACGACCGCAAGGUUGAAACUCAAAGGAAUUGACGGGGGCCCGCACAAGCAGUGGAGUAUGUGGUUUAAUUCGAAGCAACGCGAAGAACCUUACCAGGUCUUGACAUCCGAUGCAUAGCACAGAGAUGUGUGAAAUCCUUCGGGACAUCGAGACAGGUGGUGCAUGGUUGUCGUCAGCUCGUGUCGUGAGAUGUUGGGUUAAGUCCCGCAACGAGCGCAACCCUUAUUGCCAGUUACUACGUUAAGAGGACUCUGGCGAGACUGCCGUUGACAAAACGGAGGAAGGUGGGGAGGACGUCAAAUCAUCAUGCCCUUUAUGACCUGGGCUACACACGUACUACAAUGGCGUUAAACAAAGAGAAGCAAGACCGCGAGGUGGAGCAAAACUCAAAAACAACGUCUCAGUUCAGAUUGCAGGCUGCAACUCGCCUGCAUGAAGUCGGAAUUGCUAGUAAUCGCGGAUCAGCAUGCCGCGGUGAAUAAAAUGCCGGGCCUUGCACA